AUAGGGAGUCUAACAUAUGUGCCCGCAUACGGGCGGCAACCCUGUAUGCACAAUGAAAGUGAGAGUAGGGAGAUGCUUGCUUUUUGCAUUUCUCGCGCCUACGACCAACCACGAACUCUGUGAGAGGUUUGAGCUGUAGCACAUCUGUUAGGACCCGAAAGAUCAUGAACUAUGCCUGAGUAGAAUGAAGUCAGGCGAAAGCCUGAUGGAGGCUGACAGCGAUACUGACGUGCAAAUCGUUCGCCAAACUCGCAUAUAGGGGCGAAAGACUAAUGGAACGUCUAGUAGCUGGUUUCUUCCUAAGUUUCUCAGGAUAGCUGGAGUUCUAUUAGUUUUAUCAGGUAAAGCGAAUGAUUAGAGGCCUCGGGGGCGCGUUGCCCUUGACCUAUUCUCAAACUUUAGAUGGGUAACAUCCAGUGGUUACUUCAUUGAACUGCUGGGGCUAAUAUGUACUCCAAGUGGGCCAUUUUUGGUAGGCAGAACUGGCGAUGAGGGAUGCUCCUAACGCUCGGUUAAGGUGCCCAAAUACUCGUUCGUCAAACACCAUAAAAGGUGCUGGUUAUGAAGCAUUCGGUGUGAGCCUGUGUGGAACCGUAUCUAGUGCAGAUCUUGAUGGCAGUAGCAAAUAUUCAAAUGAGAACUUUGAAGACUGAAGUGAAGAAGGGUUCCUUGUGAACAGCAAUUUGCCAUGGGUUAGCUGGUCCUAAGCGACAGCUUAACUGCGUGAAUUUCGAGGCUCUUUGCCCUGUAUUUCGCGAAAGGGAAUCAGGAUAAUAUUCCUGAGCCAGGAGGUGGAUACUGUACGGUAACGUGCAUGAAAUCCUCGACGCAGGCGGUUGCUGUGGAUGAUCCAGCGAAUCCAGGUGCAGGAUACCAGCGUAGGAUUCUGUAGUACUACGCAGAUUGUAUUUAACAACUAAAGGUACAAACGUUUUAUUCAAACUAGAGACGACCAUGGGUGUUACAGUUUUCUGUUGGUGCUAGAAAGGCGA
rnacentral:ncRNA from 1 species